rnacentral:rRNA from 1 species
UACGUAGGGGGCAAGCGUUGUCCGGAAUUAUUGGGCGUAAAGAGCGUGUAGGCGGUCCGGUAAGUCAGCUGUGAAAGUCAAGGGCUCAACCCUUGAAAGCCGGUUGAUACUGUCGGGCUAGAGUCCGGAAGAGGCGAGUGGAAUUCCCGGUGUAGCGGUGAAAUGCGCAGAUAUCAGGAGGAACACCGAUGGCGAAGGCAGGUCUCUGGGCCACUACUGACGCUGAGAAGCGAAAGCAUGGGGAGCGAACAGG